GAGAUAAAAUCCCCCUUUGACCAUUUGUUUCGUCCAAUCAACUUAAAACCUAGCAAGAACUAUUAAUCAUAAUAUAAUUAUUCAGAUUCUUAGAUAUGCUAUAUACUAAUGUGCCUAAACUCGUGACGUAUCGGACCAGUUUUAGUCCCGCCCUACUUUCAAACUAAUAAUGUUUUGUAAUCUCAAUACUUUUCCUUCAAAACAAUUUUAAGAAAACUGCCGUAUUUGUUAUGAGCUAA